UAAGGAAUAUUGGACAAUGGGCGAAAGCCUGAUCCAGCCAUGCCGCGUGCAGGAAGAAGGCGCUAUGCGUCGUAAACUGCUUUUACACCGGAGAAAACCCCCUUUUGUGAAAGGGGCUGAUAGUAUGGUGAGAAUAAGCAUCGGCUAACUUCGUG
rnacentral:rRNA from 1 species